rnacentral:miRNA from 2 species
UUCACAAGGAGGUGUCAUUCAU